UGGGGAAUUUGGACAAUGGGUGAAGCCUGAUCCAGCAAUGCCGCGUGUGUGAAGAAGGCCUUCGGGUUGUAAAGCACUUUUGUCCGGAAAGAAAUCCUUGGCUCUAAUACAGUCGGGGGAUGACGGUACCGGAAGAAUAAGCACCGGCUAACUACGUGCCAGCAGCCGCGGUAAUACGUAGGGUGCAAGCGUUAAUCGGAAUUACUGGGCGUAAAGCGUGCGCAGGCGGUUUGCUAAGACCGAUGUGAAAUCCCCGGGCUCAACCUGGGAACUGCAUUGGUGACUGGCAGGCUAGAGUAUGGCAGAGGGGGGUAGAAUUCCACGUGUAGCAGUGAAAUGCGUAGAGAUGUGGAGGAAUACCGAUGGCGAAGGCAGCCCCCUGGGCCAAUACUGACGCUCAUGCACGAAAGCGUGGGGAGCAAACAGGAUUAGAUACCCUGGUAGUCCACGCCCUAAACGAUGUCAACUAGUUGUUGGGGAUUCAUUUCCUUAGUAACGUAGCUAACGCGUGAAGUUGACCGCCUGGGGAGUACGGUCGCAAGAUUAAAACUCAAAUGAAUUGACGGGGUCAUAGCUGUUUCCU
rnacentral:rRNA from 1 species